GAAAAAACAGAUAGAUCACGCACGCGGCACAUAGAUUACGCAAAAAGAGAAAUGUUGGUUUUGUUUCAUUGCGUGUGGGCGCUUCUUUGUUCUUCAAGAAAAGUAAGAAACACCGAUUGGCGUUUCUUGAUCGAAACCUUUUAUAAAUCAAUGUUGGGUUUCAAUCAUCCGCAACAUCAAAGUUUUCAUCAAGAAACUGAAAGACACACCUUUUGCUGCGGUAAGUUUUCUCAACAUUCAAUUUUCUGCUAUAGAAAAAUAAACCCUAAUUUUCUGCGGUAAGUUUUCAUUCUUGAUAAUUCAAGAACAUUCAAUCCUCUGCAAGAAAAAUAAAAAACCCUAAUUGUGUAAACAUGUCCCCAAAACCCAAUUUGGCACAAAUAUUAUGAAAGACAAUUUUUUUGUUUGUUACGAUGAUGGAGUUUUGCACAUUUUUUGGAAUUUUCAUUCUAACAAUUGGGAACGAUGAUGUGAUGCCAAUUUUCUCAUUCUUGAUCAUUCAAUUUCAAGAUUUUCAAUCUUCUGCUUGAACUUUCAAUUUUCUACAAAAACGCUAUAAGACUGUGACCGUUGGAAUUGAUGGAUAUAAUUUGUUUUUUUAAAUCUGACCGUUGCCAUUGUCAUUUCUGUUCUCUCAUUAUUGAUUAUUCAAGAAUAUUCAAUCUUCUGCUCGAGAAAAAACCUUUUUUUCUCAUUCUUGAAUACCCAAGAACAUUCAAUCUUCUGCCAGAGAAAAAAAGAACCUAAUUUUAGGAUUCUCAUUCUCAUUCUGACAUAUUGGUUUACAGUUGAUACAUGUUGCAAUACUGAGAUUUUUUUUUGUGAGUUUUUUAUUCUUGAUAAUUCAAGAACGUUCAAUCUUCUGCAUAAUAUUUUGAAAGCUUUAAUCGAGUAAACAUAUUGUGUCCUAAGACCCUGUUUGGCACAAAUAUUUUGAAAGACAAUCUUUUGUUUGCUACGAUGUCGAUGAUGGAGAUUUGCACAUUUUUGGAUUUUUCAUUCCAACAUAGUUGUCCCGUAUGGUUUAUAAUCAAUAUUUAUUGGGAAGGAUGAUGAGAUGCCAAUUUUCUCAUUUUUGAUUAUUCAAGAUUUUUCAAUCCUCUGCUUGAAAUAUUUCAAUUCUCUAAAUCAAAAUUUAACAGGGAAUACAAAACCCUAAUAACUUCGAGAUAGAAUAUUUUUUUCAUUAAUUGAAAAAGGGGUGGCGUAUAUGGCCCUAGUAACCCCAAAUCCGACCGUUGGAAUCGAUGGAUAUACUUUGUUUUUUAAAUGUUCUAUGGGAUGGAUGUCUAAAUGACCUUCACGAAAAAUGCAUUUUGAACUCUAUUCAUAAUGCAAAAGUUGGAUGAUGGCCUUCGAUGCAAUUUUCAUACGAAAUUGUAAUCAUAUGAUUUAAGGGAUCAUAUCUAUUGUCCUUUUAUGACCCUAAUUGUGAAACUGUCGCUGAGAUGAGAUAUUUUUUCAUUAUCUAUGAAGGGUGGUGUGGUAUACACACUAUGGCCCAAAAACGUUGGAUGAUGCCUUAAUUCGAAAGCUAGUUGUUGCCUAAAUUGCAAUUUUAAUAUGAAAUUUUAUUCAUAAUUUAAGGCUUGGAUUGUAUCUAUUGUUGUUGACCCUAGUCCCUAAAUGUAAUUUUCAACAACAAUAUGAAGUUAUUUUGCAAAUACCAAAUGCAAUGCGACUUGUGUUGGAUUAGCCUACUGGUAACGGUUUCAAAAGGAAUGGGAAUGGAACUGUAAAUGUGUUCAGUACUCAAUGCUAACUUUUCCAAUUGGGGAUGGACAUUGGAAUUACCCUAUUUGUUAUUGUUGGAUGGUCUUAGCUGUAUUUAAGCAGUAUCAAAUUCUCAGUGGGAUCACAAAGGGAGGUUAUUUCCAGAAAGCAUUAUAUGGUGGACAAUGUAUCUGUCAUAUGUUUUUGACUGCAGACUUAUUUUGAAAGUCUCAAGCAUUGUAUUUUUCUUGAUGAAACCCACCACAGAGCCCUCUUCUGGUUGAGUCGGAGGUCCUUGCUGUUCUUCAGUUGGACCAGGAGCUUUUCCUGAACAUGGUCCUUUCAAGCCUACAAGAAAAGACCAUCUUAUGAAAAACCAACUUGCACAGCUAAUCCUUCAAACCAAAUCCACCAAGAUUAGCUUGAAGAGGAUACUUGUGAGUAUACAUGAAUAAUUUUCUUUUUAUGAAUAAUUAUAGGAUAUGAAGUACUCCUGUACUGUGACUUAGCUUCAAAAAUUUGGUAUAUAAUGUUUCGUUGGAUUGGCUUGAUGUUUGUGUUACCUCCGAAUUUAUGUUCUCUCUUUGAAAUGAUCACUGGAACUGCUAGUAAUACAAGAAUUAAAAAAGGUUUUUGGCUCAUUUGGCUCACAACAGUACGGACAAUUUGGAAUGCAAGAAAUGAAAUUAUUUUUUCUAACCAUAGGAAGGAUUAUUUGAGGUGGUUAAGGAUAUAUUAAACUUGUCUUGGAGAUGGUGGAUUGGUAGUAAAAAUGUUGGUCAAUGGUGGCGGGACCUUGUAAUUGGGAAUGAUGAUGGGAUGCCAAUUUUCUCAUUCUUGAUCAUUCAAUUUCAAAGAUUUUUCAAUCUUCUGCUUGAAAUAAAUAUAACUUUCAAUUUUCUAAAUGAAAAUUUAACAGGGAAUACAAAACCCUAUAAAUCUGGCCGUUGGAAUCGAUGGAUAUACUUUGCUUUUUAAAUCUGACUGUUGCCAUUGUCAUUUCUGUUCCAUUUUCUCAUUAUUGAUUAUUCAAGAAUAUUCAAUCUUCUGCUUGAGAAAAAAAAAGGUAGAACCUUACCCAUUUUUCUCAUUCUUAAAUACUCAAGAACAUUCAAUCUUCUGCCAGAGAAAAAAAAUCCUAGCAGUGUGUCCCAAGACCUUGUUUGGCACCAAUGUAUUUUGAAAGUCGUUUAUUUUUUUAAAAAAAAUUUGCUGCUGGUAAUUUUAGGAUUUUCAUUCUGACAUAUUGGUUUACAGUUGAUACUUGAUACAUGUUGCGAUACUGAGUGUUUUUUUUUUGUACAAGUGAUAGUGAGUUUUUUAUUCUUGAUAAUUCAAGAACAUUCAAUCUUCUGCAUGAAAAAAAAACUUUGAUUGAGUAAACAUGUGUCCUAAGACCCUGUUUGGCGCAAAUAUUUUCUCAUUUUUUAUUGUUCUAGAUUUUUCAAUCUUCUGCUGGAAAUACAGUGAACUUUCAAUGACCUUCGAGUAAAAUGAUUUUUUAACUCUAUUCAUAAUGCAAAAGUUGGAUGUUGGCCUUCAAUGCAAUUUUCAUAUGAAAUUGUAAUCAUAUGAUUUAAGGGAUGGUAUCUAUUUUCCUUUUAUGACCCUAAUUGUGAAACUGUCGUUGAGAUGAAACAGUUUUUCAUUAUCUAUGAAGGGUGGUGUGGUAUACAUGAGCUCACUAUGGCCCAAAAAUGUUGGAUGAUGCCUUAAUGCGAAAGCUAGUUGUUGCCUAAAAUGCAAUUUUAAUAUGAAAUUUUAUUCAUAAUUUAAGGCUUGGAUGGUAUCUAUUGUUGAUGACCGUAGUCCCUAAAUGCAAUUUGCAACAACAAUAUGAAGUGAUUUUUUGCAAAUGCAAAAUGCAAUGCAACUUGUGUUGGAUUAGCCUACUGGUAACAGUUUCAAUGGAAUGGGAAUGGUACUGUAAAUGUGUUCAGUACUCGGUGCUAACUUUUCCAAUUGGGGAUGGAUAUUGGAAUUGCCCUAUUUUAUAUUGAAUAAUGCUUGAAAAGACUGUUCUUGAGCCAUCAUUGUGGGGCUAUAUAGUUAUGGAGACUAUGCCAUCAUAUGAGUCUUGAGUCAGCAUUGUGGUGCUAUAUAGUUAUGAAGCUAUAUGAGCAUUCAUGGCAGCAUUGUGGGACUAUAUAGUUAUUGUGCUCUAUUGUUGUAUCUCAUUUAGUAUUGUGCCCUAAUUUGAUUAGAAUUGAUGACGAUGUAAUGCUUUUAACUGACUUUUUAGCUUUACCAGAUUUAAUUUCUCACCAAUAUUUCACCUUUCCCUAAACCACCACAAUCUUGUUGCAGAAAAAAAAUAGUGUUAUGGAGUAGAAUUUUGGGCUGGCCCAAUCCAAUACCCCUCCUCCUUCGGUUUAUAUAACUUAUAAUCCUCAUAUAGGGCUUAUGAUUCUUUUUCUGUCUCUUGAAUUUAUACCUUUAAGAAUGUCAUUCUCCUGAAGUUAUUAAUAAAUGAAGAAACAAAUUAUCAUGCAAAGUCUUUUUCUAAAAUAGUUUGCUAGAGUCUCUUGAUGGAACAGAGUACAGUCUUCUGCUAUUAGACAGUGAAGGAAUAUAUGCUUAUGAUCAAACGGUUCGCAUAUUUUCAGGUUUUUAAGCGUUUACAUAUGCUUAUUAUCUCAAGAACAGGUAGGUAGUCUUUUUUCUAAUAGUUGCUAUGUGUUGUCUUACUCUGCAUUUUAUUUUUACUACAUUCUUUUAUACUUAGGAACAUACAGCACCCAGAUAUGUUGUCUAGUCUGUUCAUUUAUACUUAGGAAUAAUCACUUGUGUUUUUGUUUGUUUUGAUAUCCCAUGACUACCGGUUUGUGGGUCUGUUACCGAGCAUGGAAAUUUAUUGUCCUCCAUUCUUUUCUGGAUAUUUUUGCUGACAUUGGAAUCUGAUUUUCCAUUUGCCCAGAUUGGUGGUAUAGACGAGGGUGCCCUUGAUCGUUUUUCUCUAGUCACUCAAAUGACAAAGCACAUUCGUGUUAGAGCAUUUGGAGGAAAGAAUUCUGCAUCUGAAUUAGUACAAUUUUCCCCAAUUUUUGUUUGGCUCUUAUGGGACUUCUACUUGGACUUAACUGAUGAAGAUAACAGAAAAAUAACACCCGAGACUAUCUGGAACUUGCUUUGAGGUGAUAGUGAGUUUUUUAUUCUUGAUAAUUCAAGAACAUUCAAUCUUCUGCAUGAAAAAAAAACUUUGAAUGAGUAAACAUGUUGUGUCCUAAGACCCUGUUUGGCACAAAUAUUUUGAAAGACAACUUUUGUUUGCUACGAUGUCGAUGAUGGAUUUUUGCAUAUUUUUGGAUUUUUCAUUCCCACAUAUUUGUCCCGUAUGGUUUUUAAUCAAUAUUUAUUGGGAAGGAUGAUGGGAUGCCAAUUUUCUCAUUUUUGAUUAUUAAAGAUUUUUCAACCUUCUGCUUGAAAUUUAGUGAACUUUCAAUUCUCUAAAUAAAAAUUUAACAGGGAAUACAAAACCCUUAUCACUUCGAGAUGGAAUCUUUUUUCAUUAAUUGAAAAAGGGGUGGCGUAUAUGGCCCUAGUAACCCCAAAUCUGACCGUUGGAAUCGAUGGAUAUACUUUGUUUUUUAAAUGUUCUAAGGGAUGGAUGUCUCAAUGACCGUCGAGUAAAAUGCAUUUUGAACAAUAUUAAUAAUGCAAAAGUUGGAUGGUGGCCUUCAAUGCGAUUUUCAUACGAAAUUGUAAUCAUAUGACUUAAGGGAUGGCAAUGGUAUCUAUUGUCCUUUUAUGACCCUAAUUGUGAAACUGUCGCUGAGAUGAAAUAUUUUUUCAUUAUCUAUGAAGGAAGGGUGGUGUGGUAUACUUGACCCCACUAUGGCCCAAAAACGUUGGAUGAUGCCUUAAUUCGAAAGCUAGUUGUUGCCCAAUUUGCAACAACAAUAUGAGUGAUUUUACAAAUGCAAAAUGCAAUGCGACUUGUGUUGGAUUAGCCUACUGGGUAACAGUCUCAAAGGAAUUCUCUAUGGAAGAAACGAAUCAAUUGAAGCGAAAUAACAAAGAAACGAACUCUUUGGAGUCUGAACUAUUUAUUAUAGAAUCUAUCUGGUAUAUAUGGCUUUAUGCUGACCACCUAUAUAAUAUAAGGAUGCUUGCAUAAUUGCAUUGUGUGAUCAAUGAAGGAAACCAUAAAGAGGUUGUAUCUGUCCAUAUUUUUAUUGCAGACCUGUUACAAAAAUCUGAUAAAAUUUGGUGGGUGUUGGUAUAAGAAUCAAAUAACACUAGAUUUGUGUUGAUAAUUAUAAAUGCAAGUUUUUGAUCUUGUAAUUGAAUGUAUGUGAUCUCUUAUAGGCAGGGUACAAAAUUAAUUGUUGUUGAUGAAUUGAAUCACUUGAUCUUCUAGUUGGUACACCCUCUUGAUUUUGCAGCAGACAAAUUUGCUGUGAUGACCGAUGACAGUUCUUUCGGAAUGUAGCAGGUGUUUCUUGCAUAAGUACUGUGACUUUUGUGGCCAGGUUUGACACUCGUUCUAAAUGUUGCAUUUUAUAUAUUGUUAAAUACCGGUGCAAUUCAGUCUCUUAUGAGCUUUGGCUUAUGGUAGAUAUAUCAGGUUUUUUUUCUUUUUCCGGAUCUUGCUUUAUUUGCCUGAUGUUACUUUGCUAAAUUUUGGCACAUCAUAUGUGAAAGUUCUUAGAAUUGUUUUGUAAUUAUUGCAUAAUUACCGCGAAAAUUUAAAUUCUUUUAUUAGCUUGGGUUUUGGUUAUAUCACAUACCUGCCUUUUAUUUUGGUCUAACUCCAUGUCUCAUUUACGAAAGUGAUGUAUGCUAAUUCUUUUAAAUCAUUAUGUCAAAAUUUUCUAAAUAGCUUGAACCGGAGAAUGCUAUGUUUACUCCAGCUGAUGAGAUGGAACUCCAAGAUUUUUCAUUGUUGUUGUUUGUCUUGGCUUUAUGAGUUCAAACAUGGUUGAAUUGUUUGACACACUAGAAGUUCUGGGUUUCUCAUACUAGAAGUACUAAAUUUAUUUUCUUUGUCCUGACUUGAAUUAUUUGUUGAGGUGGAAAAUUCUGACAUUGAGGAUUGGCAUACAAGUGAACAUUGGAUAUGUCAUCGUUUUAACCACCUUUUCUAUAUCUGUAUGCUUCUUUUUGGUUUUCGAUUUUCCAUUUUAUUGAAUUUCUUUAUAGAUAAAUACGCACUCUGUCCCAAGACCCUAUUCAGCACUGAUGUUUUGAAACUGAAAGAUACUAUUCGUUUUGGUUUGAUACGGUAAUUUUGGAAUUAUCAUUCCAACAUAUUUGCAUUGAUUCAUGCUGCGGUACUCAUUUUCUCUUUCAUGACUAUUCAAAAACAUUAAAUCUUCUGCUUGAGAAAAACAACAACUUUAAUUGAGCAAACAUGUUAUGUCCCAACUCCCAAGACCUUGUGUGACACCAAUAUUUUGAAAGAUAGUUUUUUUCCUUUGCUAUGAAGAUGGAGUUUCGUAUGAUUUAUAUUAAAAUAACUUUUAUUUUAAUCUAUAACAAAUAGACUUGAGUGUCUUGAUGACCCAAAGUUUUUUGAUGACGCCUGAUGUGAAAUCUAGUUGUUGCUUUAAAAGACUUAAAAGGAAUGAAUGGUUCCUAAUCAUGCUUUGAUAACCAUAGUCCCUAAAUCUAAUUUUGCAACUAAAAGAUGAAGUAAUUUUGCAGAUGCAAAGUGGAGUGUACUUGUGUUGGAUUAACUUACUUAUUAUGUAUCUGGUAGGUACUUUAUAUGUCCUUGUAGGCCAAAUUGGUAUUUGGAGAAGAUCCUGAUAGGGAAGAAAGUAGAAUAAGAUGAGACCUAGUAAAGAAAGGGAAGGAUAACUCUAACCUCCUAUCUUGUAACAACUUAGCUCGUUUCCUUUCCCUUGAUCGGCAUAAUGAGGUUUCUGCGUGACUUGAUUCUCUAUUUGAAAGGACGAAGUUCAAGUAUCAUGGUCAACAGGGGAAUUCAUGAGUAGAAGGUUCUUUUUCUUCGAGAAAAGAAUGAAACACACAUUGUCGUUUCUUGAUCGAACUUUUAUGAAUCAACGUUGGAUCCUUCAAUCAUCUGCAACAGCUAAGUUUUGAUCAAGAAAAUGAAAGAUAUACCUUUUAUGUUUGCUACGGUUUGGAUGGUAUCUAUUGGUGCUUUGAUGACCCUAGUCCCUAAAUGCAAUUUUGGAACAACAAUAUGAAGUGAUUUUGCAAAUGCAAAAUGCAGUGCGACUUGAGUGUCUUGAUGACCCAAAGUUUUUGGAUGACGCCUGAUGUGAAAGCUAGUUGUUGCCUUAAAGACAAAAAGGAAUAAAUGGUAAUUUAUAUGUCCCUGUAGGCCCAAUUGGUAUUUGGAGAAGAUCCUGAAAGACAAAGUAGAAUGAGAUGAGACCUAGUGAAGAAAGGAAAGGAUAACUCUAACCUCCUAUCUUCUAACAACUUAGCUCGUUUCCUUUCCCUUGAUCGGCAUAAUCAGAGAGAAAAAUAUAGUGUUAUGGAGUAGAUUUUGGGCUGUCCUGAUCCCAAUACCACCUCCUUCAUGCUAUAUAAGCCUCACAUCGUCACUCGUUAAGGUAUGUCUCAUUCUAAACCCCUCUCACCCAAUUUACAAGUGGUUUAGGUAGUUGGGUUAUGCUCUUGGAACAAUUGGGACUUGGAAUUUCAUAAUUAAAUACAGAAAUCAUAAUUAAAUAUCAAACUUGUUUGAGUAGGUAGUUGUCUUUAGUUUGUUGUUAUAACAUAUUUAAAUACCGAAAAAAGUUGUACAACAAAUCUCAUUGGCAACAAGAGGGUUGAGUCUAACGAAAUGAGUUAGACUUUCACAACAUAAUGAAUCAAAAUUCAAAUAUUAACUAAGAGAGAUAUCCACAUUCCACAUUCAAUAUCUGACACCUGGACUAUAAUUAGCUACUGAGAAAUGAACCUAUGGAUACAAAACAAAAAAACUUGAAGAAAAAUUGGGCCUUCUAUGAAAAACUUCGUUGAUAUGAAAAACUUCGUUGAAAAAUUGCUAAAGGACCAAACUUUAGUGGAAGUUAUGUUAAGGGGAUAAUGAUAUCGUGUGGUAAUUUAGUAGUUAUAUUGUGAAUAAAACCUACUUGGGUUGGUCUAGUGGUGUUGGCUUGGGUCCUUGGAGUAUGCUCCUCUCAAGGUCUCAGGUUCGAUUCCCGCUGGUGCCAAUUUAGGUGGGCUAGUCCAUAUAGAGCAAAAAAACUCUGGCUUUAAAUGGGGCCCUGCAAGUGGGCGGUGGGAUUGGUCCCCUCGAAUUAGUCGGUCCUAGGGCCGGAUACCAAGUUUUUUUUUUAAAAAAAGUCUGAAUAAUUGAAGAAUUUGGGGUUCAAAUUCUAGCUCUUAUAAUAACAUCCAUGACAGCUAUUAAUUCAGCAACACUUACCUACCCAUAUUUAAGUUCCCUUCAUUUCCAUGUCUAGGUUGGGAUUUGGAUAGAUUAAGUAUUAGGAUUAGGAUAAUUUAUAUGCUAAUUUACUAUGAAAUUGAUGAGAAUUAAGUUCCCUUUAACUUUCUCUCAAUUGCUUAAAUUGAUGCAUCUUGAACUCAUAUUUAGUGAUCAAUUAUUUUCCCCUUGUGCUGUUAUGUAUGGCCUAAAAAUGAUCCUUAAUGCAUGUAAAUUGAUUGGAACUGGAUAGGUUAGCUAGGAUUAAUUUUGUCCUGUUAAUGAUAAAAUUUUAGUAAGUAGCUAGAUACAAGUUAGUCAAAGAUUAAUCCCCUAAAUGUUAAUGCAUGUGUUAGAUAUGUUUAUGGUUUUAAUCUACUGUUUUUAUAAAUGACAUUUUCUCUGCCCUGGAACUGUUAAAUUGAGUCUUAGGGCCCGAUUGGUUCGAGGUAGAUGGAGGGGAGG